rnacentral:rRNA from 1 species
CUCUAUGUAAAUAUUCAAUGUUUAAAAUAUAAAUGUAUUUUGGAAGCUAAGCAGGGUCAGACCUGGUUAGUAUAUGGAUGGGAGACCACCUGUGAACACUGGGUGCUGUAGGGA